AUUGAACGCUGGCGGCAGGCCUAACACAUGCAAGUCGAGCGGAUGAAGGGAGCUUGCUCCUGGAUUCAGCGGCGGACGGGUGAGUAAUGCCUAGGAAUCUGCCUGGUAGUGGGGGAUAACGUCCGGAAACGGGCGCUAAUACCGCAUACGUCCUGAGGGAGAAAGUGGGGGAUCUUCGGACCUCACGCUAUCAGAUGAGCCUAGGUCGGAUUAGCUAGUUGGUGGGGUAAAGGCCUACCAAGGCGACGAUCCGUAACUGGUCUGAGAGGAUGAUCAGUCACACGGGAACCGAGACACGGUCCAGACUCCUACGGGAGGCAGCAGUGGGGAAUAUUGGACGAUGGGCGAAAGCCUGAUCCAGCCAUGCCGCGUGUGUGAAGAAGGUCUUCGGAUUGUAAAGCACUUUAAGUUGGGAGGAAGGGCAGUAAGUUAAUACCUUGCUGUUUUGACGUUACCAACAGAAUAAGCACCGGCUAACUUCGUG
rnacentral:rRNA from 1 species